rnacentral:misc_RNA from 1 species
UUGAAAUAAACCUGAUGGGUUGUUGCUGGUUCUCUAGGGAGCAUGUGCACACUUGUCAUUUUUAUAUCUCCACCUGUGCACCUUUUGUAGACCUUUACCAAGUCUAUGUUGCUUUCAUUUACCCCAAUGUAUGUUAAUAGAAUGUUGUGACUAUAAAAUUAUA